rnacentral:rRNA from 1 species
UACAGAGACUGCAAGCGUUAUUCGGAUUCACUGGGCGUAAAGGGUGCGCAAACGGCCAAGUGUGUAAGGCGUGAAAGCCUGGGGCUUAACCCCAGAAUUGCACCUCAAACUACUUGGCUAAAGCAUUGGAGAGAGUAGCAGAAUUCAUGGUGUAGCAGUGAAAUGCGUAGAUAUCAUGAGGAAUACCAGAGGCGAAGGCGGCACUCUGGGCCAGUACUGACACUGAGGAGCGAAAGCGUGGGUAGCGAACAGG